UUUGCGCCUCGCAACCGAAAGGAGAAAAGGUUCCCUGCGGCUAAUCUCAAACUCAUCUCCGAGGCGGUUGGACCUUGGACUUUUGGGGCCCUACAGAGAAACGUUUUACCUCAGCAUUGCAGCUAUCUCUUACAAAAAAAAGCCCCAGCCAGGGUCUUAACUCACAAGGCUGCUCUAGAAUUAGCAGCAGGCACUACAGGAGAGGUAGACAAGGGCUCAUGCCUGUGAGAUGGAGGGGCGACUGCAACUCACCGUCACCUGGUAGCGCACAGGACUGCCCACCUCAUUCUCGUGCUUCAUGGCACUCUCACCACGCACCUCUCCACUGAAGAAGAGCUUCUGUGGCUGAACUACUCUGCAGAGAGAAAGAUGGAUUAGACUGGGUAUGUGGAAAUCUCAAGAGGCAGGAAAGUGGGUAGUUUGAAAUACAUCAAUCUGCAAGUUAUUGCUUGAUAUGCAGAGGCUACCGUGGCUCUCAGCACAAGCAAGUUAUUCCCAAUGACCACGUCAACAGGGUCUCUGGUGCCAAUGAUUCAGAGCAGGAACAAUCUGAUCUGACUUGCAGUUCGCCAUCCAGGAACAUUAGUGGCCGAGACGGGCAGGGAUGUUCUGGCUGUGCCUGUGCUGCAACACUGAAAAACCUGCUACAUCAAGGCAACCCAAAACCUUGCCACAUGAAUAAAGAACACAUCUGAGUAUUUGUGUUUAUCUGCAGUGAUUAAGCGGGCCACUGAAGCCCCACCCCUCAUGUCCAAAGAAAGUCCUGGAAUCUUUCCAGCCGGUGCUUUAUUCAGCAGGACUGCCAAUACUUACAGGCAAUGUUGCGAAUGGUCCAGAAGACAUUUUGCACAUCCUGUAACUUCCUUGCACGAUCUGCCUGCCAAUCCAUGGAACACCAUGGCACUUUCAUUACUACAUUAACUCUAACUUGCUCAUGGAAGGAGGAAGUAUUGCACAAGGAGGAAACAGUGCUGAUGGAUCACAGUGCAACCUGCAGAGGAGUGGUUGGACAUGACAUCCGGGAGGGUUGGCUCCCUCCCCUCACUUCCACACUUGAGAGCACUUAACUUCUGGUUUCACUUUAUGCAGUCCUGCUCCCCACCACCCAAGGCCAUUGGGUCAAUAUUAUGAUCCUUUGGUCCCCUUUUAUUUUAAAAUAUUUUAAUUGACUUUUUCCACAAAUUGUGGGUUGGGUUUUUUACACAUUAGGAAAAGAAACCUCCCCUCCCAGCCUCCUCCUCUCCAAAUGAUUGUUUUUACUCUUGAUUCAGUGUUUCAGGGAACCAGGGCGCUUUCCAGAUUACACCCUGCAACAGGGUCACAGCAGAUCUCUGAAGUGGGCUUCCACACUUCCUGUGUUGUGACACCGCAGUCCCUACGCUGGCAGCAGGGUGCUGUUCACAUUUCCAAUACCUUGUUUCAAAUUGAAUCGCUGCAAUAUAGUGCUAUAAUGUUGUGUAUCCGAUGUUAAAAGGUUGCUGUUUUUUCUGGUUUUUCGUUUCCGUGAGACUGCUCCCCCUGUUGCUUACAUUUCAAAUGCAAUUUGCCUGAACGGAAACAUUUUGCUGCUGUUGAGCAGCUAAUCUGGAAAGCACUCAGGAGACUAAACCACAUCAAAGGGGCAUUAACAACAGUGUUUCCAUUGUUCCCAGAUGACCGUUGCAAUUGUGUGUGGGGAUUUAAAUGGCAAGACACAAGGCUUUAAAGUGUGUUUGUAGACAAGACUCAGGUUGUAUCUACAUGAAAUUCAUAUGGUAUAAUGACCACACAAGGGUCUACCAUGUGUGCUAUUUUUCAUCCUGACACAAAACUAUUUAUAAGUAUCUUAAUGAUUUCCCAUUAAAGUCUAUGGCUGAAAUAUCAGGGAAAGAGGUGAGGACAGCAGAAUGUAGCAGCACCCAUGCCUUGCUAGGUAAAAGUAAAGUAUGCAAUCAAGUCCUGGCGACCACAGAGCCAUGUGGUUGUCUUUGGUCUAAAGUGAUCCACAUCCUCCUCCUCUGCUCCCCUAUUUCUUCAAGCUAGCACUCCUCAGAUGGAGAACAAAUAGUGUGGGGAGGUAGGAGAACUCUGAGUACCCUCUGGGAGCCCUUCAGGUGGCCCUUGUACUAGAUUGGGAACUCCUGGGUAAGAGGAAAGAGGAACAAUUCAGGGUGAUUUCAGGAAGUGAUUAAACUAAAAUUUCUGGGUGGCUUAUUAAGACAUCAACAACAAGGACACACAGGGCUGGUUCUCACUAUCUGUUGACCACCAAAUGUUGGGCAGAGGAAACACACAUGUUCCUAAUAAUUGAUCAUGUGGGCAGCCCAAAAGCUGGCUGGAGGAUUGGGUGGUGACCAUGUGCAAGGCACAAUCAUAAUUUGUCAACAUGGGCAGCUGACAUGAGUAAUCUUACACUUGAUCUAGGUAGGAAGUGAUCAGCUGCCAGCA